UACAGAGGGGGCAAGCGUUAUUCGGAAUUAUUGGGCGUAAAGGGCGCGUAGGCGGCUUGGCAAGUGGAUGGUGAAAUCCCUCGGCUUAACCGAGGAACUGCCGUCCAAACUGCUUUGCUUGAGACCGGGAGAGGUGAGUGGAAUUCCCAGUGUAGCGGUGAAAUGCGUAGAUAUUGGGAGGAACACCAGUGGCGAAGGCGGCUCACUGGACCGGUACUGACGCUGAGGCGCGAAAGCGUGGGGAGCAAACGGG
rnacentral:rRNA from 1 species